AAUCACGCUGGCGGCGUGCCUAACACAUGCAAAGUCGCACGAGAAAAGAGCCCGCAAGGGCUUGAGUAAAGUGGCGUACGGGUGAGUAACACGUGACUAACCUACCCUUGAGUGGGGAAUAACCUUCGGGAAACCGGGGGCUAAUACCGCAUAACACUUACGAGUCAAAGCCGAAAGGCGCUUAAGGAGGGGGUCGCGGCUGAUUAGCUAGUUGGUAGGGUAAUGGCCUACCAAGGCGACGAUCAGUAUCCGGCCUGAGAGGGCGCACGGGACACACUGGAACUGAAACACGGUCCAGACUCCUACGGGAGGCAGCAGUGGGGAAUUUUGCACAAAUGGGGGAAACCCUGAUGCAGCAACGCCGCGUGGAGGAUGAAGUCCCUUGGGACGUAAACUCCUUUCGACCGGGACGAUAAUGACGGUACCGGUGGAAGAAGCCCCGGCUAACUUCGUGCCAGCAGCCGCGGUAAUACGAGGGGGGCAAGCGUUAGUUCGGAAUUAUUGGGCGUAAAGGGGCGCGUAGGCGGUGCGGUAAAGUCAUCUGUGAAAUCUCUGGGCUCAACUCAGAGUCUGCAGGCGAAACUGCCGUGCUUGAGUAUGGGAGAGGUGAGUGGAAUUCCCCGGUGUAGCGGUGAAAUGCGUAGAUAUCGGGAGGAACACCUGUGGCGAGAGCGGCUCACUGGACCAUAACUGACGCUGAUGCGCGAAAGCUAGGGGAGCAAACAGGAUUAGAUACCCUGGUAGUCCUAGCCCUAAACGAUGGAUGCUUGGUGUAGCGGGUACCCAAUCCGCCGUGCCGGAGGCUAACGCGAUAAGCAUCCCGCCUGGGGAGUACGGUCGCAAGGCUGAAACUCAAAGGAAAUUGACGGGGGGCCCGCACAAGCGGUGGAGCAUGUGGUUCAAUUCGACGCAACGCGAAGAACCUUACCUGGGCUCGAAGCGCAGUGGAAUCCGGUGGAAACAUCGGCGCCCGCAAGGGCUGCUGCGUAGGUGCUUGCAUGGGCCUGUCGUCAGCCUCGUGUCGUGAGAUGUUGGGUUAAGUCCCGCAACGAGCGCAACCCUUAUUGCCAGUUGCUAACGCGUUAUGGCGAGCACUCUGGCGAAACUGCCCCGGAUAACGGGGAGGAAGGUGGGGAUGACGUCAAGUCCUCAUGGCCUUUAUGUCCAGGGCUACACACGUGCUACAAUGGUCGGUACAAAACCGUCGCAAACCCGUGAGGGGGAGCUAAUCGGAAAAAGCCGACCUCAGUUCGGAUUGGAGUCUGCAACUCGACUCCAUGAAGCUGGAAUCGCUAGUAAUCGCAGAUCAGCACGCUGCGGUGAAUACGUUCCCCGGGCCUUGUACACACCCGCCCGUCACAUCACGAAAGUGGGCUGCACUAGAAGCCGGUGGGCCGACCCGCAAGGGGGGUAGCCGUCCAAGGUGUAGUUCAUGAUUGGGGUG
rnacentral:rRNA from 1 species